rnacentral:rRNA from 1 species
GACGAACGCUGGCGGCGUGCUUAACACAUGCAAGUCGAACGGAAAGGCCCUGCUUUUGUGGGGUGCUCGAUUGGCGAACGGGUGAGUAACACGUGAGUAACCUGCCCUUGACUUUGGGAUAACUUCAGGAAACUGGGGCUAAUACCGGAUAGGAGCUCCUGCUGCAUGGUGGUGGUUGGAAAGUUUCGGCGGUUGGGGAUGGACUCGCGGCUUAUCAGCUUGUUGGUGGGGUAGUGGCUUACCAAGGCUUUGACGGGUAGCCGGCCUGAGAGGGUGACCGGCGACAUGGGGACUGAGAGACGGCCCAGACUCCUACGGGAGGCAGCAGUGGGGAAUAUUGCACAAUGGGCGGAAGCCUGAUGCAGCAACGCCGCGUGCGGGAUGACGGCCUUCGGGUUGUAAACCGCUUUCGCCUGUGACGAAGCGUGAGUGACGGUACUGGGUAAAGAAGCACCGGCUAACUACGUG